GACGAACGCUGGCGGCGUGCCUAACACAUGCAAGUCGAACGGAGAUACGAUUUCGGUUGUAUCUUAGUGGCGAACGGGUGAGUAACGCGUGAGCAACCUGACCUUCAGAGGGGGAUAACACUUGGAAACAGGUGCUAAUACCGCAUAAGACCACGACCCGACAUCGGGAUGAGGUCAAAGGAGUAAUCCGCUGAGGGAGGGGCUCGCGUCCCAUUAGAUAGAUGGCGGGGUAACGGCCCACCAUGUCUACGAUGGGUAGCCGAGCUGAGAGGCUGAUCGGCCACACUGGAACUGAGACACGGUCCAGACUCCUACGGGUGGCAG
rnacentral:rRNA from 1 species